rnacentral:rRNA from 1 species
GACGAACGCUGGCGGCAGGCUUAACACAUGCAAGUCGAACGAACUCUUCGGAGUGAGUGGCAGACGGGUGCGUAACACGUGGGAACCUACCUUAAGGUACGGAAUAACAUCGAGAAAUCGUUGCUAAUACCGUAUGUGCCCUUCGGGGGAAAGAUUUAUCGCCUUAAGAUGGGCCCGCGGCAGAUUAGAUAGUUGGUGGGGUAAAAGCCUACCAAGUCUACGAUCUGUAGCUGGUCUGAGAGGAUGAUCAGCCACACUGGAACUGAGACACGGUCCAGACUCCUACGGGAGGCAGCAGUGGGGAAUAUUGGGCAAUGGGCGAAAGCCUGACCCAGCCAUGCCGCGUGAGUGAUGAAGGCCUUAGGGUUGUAAAACUCUUUCGCUAGUGAAGAUAAUGACGGUAACUAGUAAAGAAGCCCCGGCUAAUUUCGUGCCAGCCGCCGCAGUAACAC